CUUGGUCAUUUAGAGGAAGUAAAAGUCGUAACAAGGUUUCCGUAGGUGAACCUGCGGAAGGAUCAUUACUGAAAGGGGACUCCGGUCCCCGGGACAAGCCCCCGUCGAGCCCUCUAGGCUCCCCGGGUGGUGACACCCCUCACCCUUUGUUUACCUUACCUCUGUUGCUUUGGCAAGGCUCCUGCCUGGGUGGUCCCAGGCUUGGGCUCUGCCAGAGGGCCCCAACUCGUGGAUAGUUUUUGUUUGUCUGAGUACGAUAUAAUCGUUUACAACUUUUAACAAUGGAUCUCUUGGCUCUGGCAUCGAUGAAGAACGCAGCGAAACGCGAUAUGUAAUGUGAAUUGCAGACUUUAGUGAAUCAUCGAAUCUUUGAACGCACAUUGCGCCCCGUGGUAUUCCGCGGGGCAUACCUGUUCGAGCGUCAUUACAACCUCUCCAGCUCCGCUGGGUCUUGGGGCUUGCCUUCCCGGGCAUCCCUUAAAGCUAGAUGCGGCGCCGCGUGGCUCUAAGCGUAGUACUUUUCUCGCUUCUGGGUCCGCUGUGGUGUCUGCUACAUAAACCCCAACUUUCAUAUGGUUGACCUCGAAUCAGGUAGGGAUACCCGCUGAACUUAAGCAUAUCAAUAAGCGGAGGA
rnacentral:rRNA from 1 species